rnacentral:rRNA from 1 species
UACGGGGGGGGCAAGCGUUGUUCGGAAUUACUGGGCGUAAAGGGCUCGUAGGCGGCCAACUAAGUCGGACGUGAAAUCCCCAGGCUCAACCUGGGAACUGCGUCCGAUACUGGAUGGCUUGAAUCCGGGAGAGGGAUGCAGAAUUCCAGGUGUAGCGGUGAAAUGCGUAGAUAUCGAAAGGAAUACCAAAGGCGAAGGCCGGACUCUGGACAGUUCCUGACGCUGAGGCACGAAGGUCAGGGGAGCAAACGGG